rnacentral:rRNA from 1 species
CCUACGGGAGGCAGCAGUGGGGAAUAUUGCACAAUGGGGGAAACCCUGAUGCAGCCAUGCCGCGUGUGUGAAGAAGGCCUUCGGGUUGUAAAGCACUUUACGCGAGGAGGAAAGGUCACUAGCUAAUACCUUGUGGGUCUGACGUUACUCACACAAUAAGCACCGGCUAACUCCGUGCCAACAGCCGCGGUAAU